rnacentral:tRNA from 1 species
UCCCUGGUAGCUAAGUUGGUAAAGAAUCUGCCUGCAGUGCAGAAGACUCGGGUUUGAUCCCUGGGUUGGGAA